rnacentral:rRNA from 1 species
GCAUAUGGCCAUCAUAUCACGUUAAAAUGCACCCAUCCUCGUCUGAUCAGCGAAGUUGAGCAACGUCGAGCCUAAUUAGUAAUUCGGUCCGUGAACGCUCGGGAAACAUAGCUGCUGUAAGCA